CUACGUGCCAGCAGCCGCGGUAAUACGUAUGUCGCGAGCGUUAUCCGGAAUUAUUGGGCAUAAAGGGCAUCUAGGCGGCCGGAUAAGUCUGGGGUGAAAACUUGCGGCUCAACCGCAAGCCUGCCCUGGAAACUAUGCGGCUAGAGUACUGGAGAGGUGGACGGAACUGCACGAGUAGAGGUGAAAUUCGUAGAUAUGUGCAGGAAUGCCGAUGAUGAAGAUAGUUCACUGGACGGUAACUGACGCUGAAGUGCGAAAGCUAGGGGAGCAAACAGGAUUAGAUACCCUGGUAGUCCUAGCUGUAAACGAUGAUUACUGGGUGUGGGCAUGAAGAGUGUCCGUGCCGAAGCUAAUGCGAUAAGUAAUCCGCCUGGGGAGUACGGCCGCAAGGCUGAAACUCAAAGGAAUUGACGGGGACCCGCACAAGCGGUGGAGUAUGUGGUUUAAUUCGACGCAACGCGAAGAACCUUACCAGGUCUUGACAU
rnacentral:rRNA from 1 species